rnacentral:rRNA from 1 species
UGGGGAAUUUUCCGCAAUGGGCGAAAGCCUGACGGAGCGACGCCGCGUGGAGGAUGAAGGAUUUCGGUCUGUAAACUCCUGUCAGGGGGGACGAAUCAACUGACGGUACCCCCAAAGGAAGCAUCGGCUAACUACGUGCCAGCAGCCGCGGUAAGACGUAGGAUGCGAGCGUUGUUCGGAUUUAUUGGGCGUAAAGCGUACGUAGGCGGCCUGUUAAGUCUGGUGUUAAAGCUAGGGGCUCAACCCCUGUGUUGCACUGGAUACUGGCAGGCUUGAGUGUGGUAGGGGAAGGUGGAAUUCCGAGUGUAGCGGUGAAAUGCGUAGAUAUUCGGAAGAACACCGGUGGCGAAAGCGACCUUCUGGGCCAUUACUGACGCUGAGGUACGAAAGCUUGGGGAGCGAACGG